UACGAAGGGGGCUAGCGUUGUUCGGAAUCACUGGGCGUAAAGGGUGCGCAGGCGGGUUCAUAAGUCAGGGGUGAAAUCCCGAGGCUCAACCUCGGAACGGCCUUUGAAACUGUGGAUCUUGAGUACGGAAGAGGUGGGUGGAACUGCGAGUGUAGAGGUGAAAUUCGUAGAUAUUCGCAAGAACACCGGUGGCGAAGGCGGCCCACUGGUCCGGAACUGACGCUGAGGCACGACAGCGUGGGGAGCAAACAGG
rnacentral:rRNA from 1 species